rnacentral:rRNA from 1 species
GAUGAACGCUGGCGGCGUGCUUAACACAUGCAAGUCGAACGGAAAGGCCCUGCUUUUGUGGGGUGCUCGAGUGGCGAACGGGUGAGUAACACGUGAGUAACCUGCCCUUGACUUUGGGAUAACUUCAGGAAACUGGGGCUAAUACCGGAUAGGAGCUCCUGCUGCAUGGUGGGGGUUGGAAAGUUUCGGCGGUUGGGGAUGGACUCGCGGCUUAUCAGCUUGUUGGUGGGGUAGUGGCAUACCAAGUCUUAGACGGGUAGCCGGCCUGAGAGGGUGACCGGCCACCAUGGGACUGCGAUACGGCCCAGACUCCUACGUGAGGCAGCAGUCGGGAAUAUUGCACAAUGGGCGGAAGCCUGAUGCAGCAACGUCGCGUUCGGGAUGACGUCCUUCGGGUUGUAAACCGCUUUCGCCUGUGACGAAGCGUGAGUGACGGUAAUUAGUAAAGAAGCACCGGCUAACUACGUG